rnacentral:lncRNA from 1 species
UUUUUUUAUGUGUGAUGAACUUAUGUGAGAUACAUCUCUAGAACUUGCGUAACGAUCUUUCGAAAUGUUUGUCAUUGAUUGCAUGAACUUGGAAAUGAUAGAGGCAUUAGGUUUACCACUAUGGCCCAAAUAACCAUGUUUCCCAAAUAAAAAAUGAUAUCAUUAGAUUGCCAAUUUGAGCCGUGUAUGUUGAGCCUUUUAUUUCUUAUCACCAGAUAUGUCUACCCUUAUACCUGAAACAUUUUUCCUUACCCUUUCCAAGCGAGCAAUGCGAGAUUGUCUUAUGAGAAACGUUUGUGAAGUACUUUGAAGGUGUUUGGCAAAAGAAUAAGUGUGGGGGUAUUUCAUGUUUGUGUGUAAAAAAAAAAAAAAAAAAAAAAAAGAAAGAUUGUAUACAAAUGAAAUAAAAAGUUGUUCAAUUUUCAGUUUAAGGGUGUGGUUGGAGGUGCUAAAAGAAUAGUUGGAAAUAUUGAGUUCUUAUAAAUCUAAAGAAAAGAAUUGCUUGCAAUGUAGCUUGGAACUUGUGUUUUCCUAUUCUUUCGUUUCAAUAACCCUAUCCCUAAGCCUCAUUACAUCCAAUAAAAGUCCUCUUGAUUUAAGUUUUGCAAUUAUGACUGUGGAGAAGUGAUUUUUAUGCAAGCUUAUGGUAGAUAUUUCACAUUUGAUUCUUUGAGCGAAACACAUUAAAACUAAACACAUAUUUGAUUGAGUGCAUAUCCCGUGAGAAGGUCGCUAGUUUGCAUAUGAUGAUUUUAAAAAUAAAAACUUGAAAUUGCAUUAGCAUGGCUAUCUCACACACUACACUUCAAGGAUGAUUCAAAGAUUACUGCUAAUAUUUGAAUAAGAAAGAUGAACUUGGAUUAGUUCCUUGAUGCUAGCUAUGGUUCUUGUUGAUUUGUGUUCUCGAAUGAAAUUCUAUGAGGGUCACAUAGGGGGAAGCUAAUGUUUUUCUUGUUACUUCUUGUUCUAGUUUUCUUUGUUUUGCUCGAGGACUAGCAAAAGCUAAGUGUGGGGGUAUUUGAUCACUCAUAUAUUUCAUACAUAUAUACCAUCCAUUUCUAUAGUCUUUGUGAUGUUUUUGUGUUAAAAUUGUGGCAGUUUACCUUAUCUUGUGUUAAUGUGUAGUUAAUUUUGUUGUAGGAUCAAUUUUAAGCAAAAAGAAGAAAAUGAAACAGAAAGAAAACAAAAUAAACAAAGGCAGUGGAAAGGAUGAUUACACGAGUAGUGGACAGAAUGUCCACUAAAGAAACGGAAAAAGAAUCCAAAGGAUCCAAGAGAGAGAUGGAAUAGAAAAAUAGAAAGAGGAAGCUGGAGGCGUGAAAAGAAGACUCGGGGGGAAGGUGGAAUGGGAAGAAGACAGCGAGGCUGCCAGGUGGAAAACCAGGAAGAGAACGUGCAGGAAAAAGCAGAGACGCGGGCCGUUGCAGCUGGCAAAGCGUGAAGGAUAGGAGAAGGUGCGGAAAAAGAAUAAAGAAAAGAGAUAAAGGGGGGACGUGGGGAGAAACAAAGCGGCCUUUGCAGCUGGGCAGAGGCGGCCCUUUGGCAGCAGAAGAAACGUCAGGAGAGAGAGUGAGAGAGGCGCUGCAUUUUUGCAGCCUGUACAGAAGCAACGCAGAGGAGAGAACCGAGAGCAUCAGUUCCCCUUGGCAGCUGUGAGAGGUUAGCCUCGGACGAGGAUAAGCGCUGCCUUACAGCGUGUUCAGCUGCUGUGCAAAAAAAAAAGGUUUUUUGGCGGUGCAAAGUCAGAGGGCUGCAUGUGCUCGCGGUGGAAAGAAGUAAAUGCUGCCUCUUUGGCAGCUGGAGAGACAAGAAACCGCUGCUCUUGCAGCAAGGUCAGAGUGCAGUGAAGAAACCAAUCUGCCUUUGCAGCAAAGUCAAGAAACAAAAGAAAUAAAAUAGAGGGCAGUGCUGUCUGCAGCACGGAGGAGAGGAAUCCGGGGGAGUGCAGUGAAGGGGCUUGCGGUAUAAAGAUAAAGAAACAAAAACUGCCUCUUUGGCAGCACCGAGAGCAUCAGUUCCCUUGGGCAGCGAGAAGGACACGGAUAGAAGCAAUCUGGACAGAGGGAACACAGCAAGCAUUCACUCUCUUUCGGUUAAAUCCUUCCAAACUCAUAUUUUAUUUCUGUUUUAAUAAUGUGUAACUAAUUUUAUUUUGGCUAGAGGUUAAUUCAAAGCCAUGAAUAUAUUUGUAAUAUGAAUUGAUUACCUUCAGUUGUGAUUUCUGAGUUGUGAUUUAAUUUGCUUAACUGCUUGAUUGAUAACUUAUUUUUGUAUGUCGAUUAAGAAUGCAUACUUAAUUUACAUGCAUGAAUUUGAUGCUAGAAUAUAAGUGAAUUUCACCUAAUCGUUAUGAACUUAUAUUCACAAGUAGUAAAGGUUGCUAGUCACAAUCACGUUAAGUAAAUUCUUGGCAUAAGUUUCAUGCAAAUCAUAGUAACGAGUGCCUCGUCAAUGCUUAUGUUUUUCAUAGAACUUAAUGAUUCUUGCUUGUAUCUCUAUUAUGCAAUUCAUGUAGGGAACUUGUAGGGAAUGUUUUGGGUUGUCGUAUGCAAUCAUCCAACCCAAUAACUUGUGGAAAAACUGAGGGUUAAUUAGUGCAAUUCACGGUUAAUUUGGAGCGUUGAGAUUUACAAUUUAUUGAAAGAACAACUGAAAAUCAAUUUAGGUUGCAUAUGUGUCAUGUGUGGAGAAGAACCCUCUAGCUAGUUUGUCAUUUAUCAUUUUACCUUAAUUUUAUGUUUUUGUCAAUUCUGUAAUUUAAUUAAGUUUAAUUUACUUUUCAUCAAAACCAAACAUCCAUCCAUUAUUAAAUUAUAUUAUUUAGUUAGUUUUCUUUAUUGUUAGUCUUUUAAUUUAAUUUCCGUCCAUUUCAGUUCCUAGUGUUUAAUUUAAUUGUUUUCAUUAUUUUGAGUCAUUUUAAGUGUGUUUCGAGUUAUUAGAGUUUUUAGCCUAGUUUUGUGUCCUUGAGUCUUAUUUAAUAUUUUUAAAUUAAUUUAGAAUAGAUUAGCAAUCCCUCCUAAUCCCCGGUUUAGAACGAUCCCUACUUACAUACUUUGCUACAACUGUCAAAAGAGGGUUUAAUUUGUGUGUUAACUUAUUUUUCACAUCAAAUUUUGGCGCCGUUGCCGGGGAUUAGCAACUUUGCUAAUCCCUUUAUUUUUGUUUUUGUUUAUGUUUAUAUUGGUGUUUGUGUAUUUUACUUUUGAUAUUUGAUUUAUUUAUUUAUUUUUUUUUUUUUUAUUUGAUUUUAGGUACAAAUGGAGCGAGACAUGGCACUUGCGACCAUUCAAGUUCAAUUGGCACAGCUCACUGCUCAAUUGACUCAUAAUGCCGAACGGACCACAAUGCCAAGUGUCCCUACAUUUGAUGUGCCCUAUGGGCAAGGUUAUCAAAGUCCUCAAUUUUAUGCAAAUGAAGAUGUUUGGGGAUAUCAAGGCCAUAACCAAUCGAGGGGCAACAUUUUUUCCAACGCUUACAAUUCAGAUUGGAGAGGUAAUUCAGAUUAUAUGUGGGAUGAACCUCAACAAUUUCAACAAGGUGGAUAUUGGCAGCAAGACGAGUUCUAUUCAAGACCUAUGCAGCCACCACAGCAUUCCCCACAACAAUUCCAAUCAAAUCAAAGUAUGCCCAUGAAUUAUAAUGAAAUUCUUGAAGGACUAAUUUCUGUAGCGCAGGGUUUACGAAAAGAAGAACAAUUGCCGCCAUCAGAAGAGUUCUAUCAGUGGCCAUAUGAACCGUCACAGCCACCACAACAAUCAACCCAAUUCAAUUCAGGUACGUCCUUGGAUAAUGAUACACUUAAUAAGUUACUCACCUCUUUGAAUCAGGGAGUAGAAAAUCGAAACCAGGAGAUGCAAGACCGAGUCAAAAGAGUGGACGAAUUGGAGAUGCAAGUUGGGCAGAUUGUGGAAUUCAUGGCACAGAUUCGAGAUCAAAGUGAACUUUCCAACUCAAACAUUGCAAAUUCAAAGGCAGAAAGUGAAAUCGAUGAAGCCACCACCUUGGAAGGUGACAUGAAGGAUGAAGCUGUCCCAGAACCAUCCAAACACAGCCCAAACAUGGAUGAAUUGCUGCUGCAAGCAGAAGAGGAAGAGGACGACCUGGGCAGUUUAGAAGAAUUCUUGCUGCAAACUCCUCAAAUCCCUAUGUCAUCUAACUCAGGUGAGGAAAGUCUAAAUUCACUUCAUUCUAACAUUAGUCCACCGAAUGUCCUUUGUCCUUGCAGGUUUUUGAUUCCAAAUAUCAAAGAGAGUGAAAAAGACAUUGUGGAAGCUCUUCCAAAGGUGCAAAGUGAUAUCCCAAUUCUUGGUGCACCAAAACAAGUUCCCGAUGGUAUUGAAAUGUUCAAAGAACCUUGCACACCAAGAAAAGGGAUUCAAGAAAAUGAAGUGGUUGAAGCAUAUCAAGAAUACAUCCAAGAGGCUGUGCAUGAGACAAUCAAGCCCAAAGCAGUUGAGUUUGAUGACACGGGACAAGCCACAACCAUCAUAGUAAACCUGGCCAAGUUCAAAGUCCCGGAAAUGUUCACAGAUGUGGUGUUUGUCAUUGAGUUUGUGUCGGAAAAAGAAAAUAAGCCAUCUUCUCCAAUUUUAAUUUUAAUUUAUACUAACAUGUUUCUUAUUUUGAUGAUUCAGGCACCCACUCUUGAAUUUAAACCAUUGCCGAAUCAUUUCAAGUAUCACCUCCCAUUAAAAGAUAAAUUUCAUGCUUUGGAGCCGAGGGGAGGUUAAAGGAAAGAUUCGUCCGGCUAAAGACGUUAAAUCAAGCGCUUCUUGGGAGGCAACCCAAGCAUUCAACGAAGGGAGACUUUGGAAUCGCUCACCAAAUCAGAUUUGAAUUCUUACACCCUUAUCUUUACUGCUUUCAUUUUGUUUUGUUCAGUUAGUUGUGUUAUUUGGUUGAUUUAUGUGAGUUUGUGUUAUUUAGUUUAAGUGUAGGGGAAGGUUAAACAAAGUCUUUUUACAUUGAUUUACAUAUUUUACAUUGAUUUAAAAAAAAAACAAAAACAAAAAAAAAAAAAAAAAAAACAAAACAAAACAAAACACACCUAAAGAAAAAAAAAAAAAAAAAAAAAAAAAAAUAGAAAUAAACAUUUUUUUACAAUGAUGUGUAAACUAAUAGAAUUCAUUGGUCAGGUGGUGCUUCAGUAGUCGGCGGAGCUUCAGCAGUCGGCGGGGCCACGGAAGGAGGAGGUAUCGGAGGUUGAUCAGUUGGAGCUUCACUACGCGGUGCCGCCCCAGAAGACGAAGGAAGAUGCGGUUGGAACAAACCCACAAACCUCCGAUGAUCAAGUAAAAUUUGACCAUCAGUGUCUUGCAGCUGGUCAAUUUUCCUCUUCAUGUUUGUGGCAUAAUUGUGUGCAAGCUUGUGCAAUUGUUUAUUUUCAUGCUUGAGUCCUCUAAUCUCCUCUUUGAGACUCUGUAUUUCAGCCACCAACGAUUCAACAUGACGGGUUCGGGCAAAUAGGCGUUGGGCCAUGUUGGACACGGAACCGGCACACUGCACGCUAAGAGCCAGAGACUCCUUAACCGCCAAUUCAUCAGAUCGUCUAGCGAGCAGUCUGUUAUCUCUGGGGGUGACAAGGUUCCGGGCCACCACCGCAGCUGUCAUAUCAUUUUUCAUCACCGAAUCCCCCACGGUAAGGGGACCGGUAGGGGAUAUGAAAGAUGGGCGCCAUAUGUUGUCUGGUGAAGGCGGAGCUGCCUCUUCACCAAUGUUCAAGUCAAAACGACGAUCGGAAGGGCCAGACAUUUUCUGAAGGUGGUGAAGAAAGAAGAGAGUCGGACUGAUUAAGAUUUUGGAAGUUUACAGGAGGGAGUGUUUACAAGAGGGAGCUCAAGUGUGUUAUGGAACAAAAUUAACGCCUCUAUAAAAAGAAGAAAUCAAAGAGGCGCUCCUCAGAGAAGCGUCCUCUCGCAAAUCGAAGAGUCGGGGCUCCUUUCUCAAAAACCGGAUUUUUUUUCUCAAAAGAGGCGUUGCAUUUCUUAAAGGCUGGGCUUGCUCAGAAACCACGAGCCGAACCCCGGAUUUCAAAAGAUCAAAUUGUCCAGACGUGUCGUCACUCGUCACAUGCAACUGGCUGCUUUGCGAAAAUCUCGGGCAGUUUGUCGAAGCACCAAUUCAGAAAUCGAAGAGGGAAAUUCAACAGUCAAAGACACGCUAGCUUUCUCAAAAGCUGGGCUUCAACCCACGGGCAAAUCUUCUUUUCCAGAUUUAUCCGCACGUGUCACAUACUACCUCUACAAUCGACGAUGCUCAGAGCUCGAAGCGCCGAUUCCAGAUAUCAAUGAGGAAUCUGCUUUGCGAAAAUUACGGGCAGCUUUGUCAGAAAGCGCGUAAUUUAUACUAUCAUUCAUCCACCGGCUGCCGACAAUGAGUGAGAGAAUAGUUCCGGUUGUGAAGAAAAGCCCUAUAAGUAUCUACCUUCGCCUUUCACAGCAAAGACACACCCUCUUAACACUUCUUCAUCUCCGAAAAUGCAUUCUCAAAGAAUCCUUCUAAGUUACUCCGUGUUCCUCAUUCCCUGGGAUACCCCUGCAAACAACCCAUCCAGAGCAAAAGUAUUUCAUAUCAUAAUGGUUGAAAGCAAGAGUAUCUCAUAUCAUGCAUUCUCCAUGACCUUUUCCUUGUCUUUGUUCUAACCUGCAGGACAUGGAGAAAUUGCUCUCGAGUACUCGUCUUCCACUGCUGAUGUACUUCCAAAGAAGCUGCCACAUCUACCUGAAGAACAGAUAAGGCAAGCGAAAAUGAUACCACCAGCAUGUGGAGACAACGUACAGAAGAAACAAGCAGAGAAGAAUGCAGCUUGCACAAUCAUCCCAGCGGAAUGAGUCCGAGCUGAGGAACUAGAGAAGCUGCCACAUCUGCUUGGAGAACAAAUAAGGAACUGCAACAUCACCAAAGAGCAAAGCUUCGCCGUACAAUAUCAUCAAAUCAUCACUUGCAAGUAAAAAGCUAAGUGUCACCCCGUUCAAAAGGAAAGCUGUGGAAAGUCAACAAGCACGACCAAUGACCACUUAUUAGUUCUAUUCAUUGUCUUUUAUCGUGAUUUUCAAUUUUUCGUUUGCAAUUUUUUUUUUAUAUUUCUUGUGUCACUUAACUGAAUUAUUUCUUUUCUUUGCAGGAACUUUUGGUUAUUUCCACCCUUGAAGUUGAUUGCAGAAUUUUAGCUUGGGGGUCAUCGCUUGAUUUUACUGCAAAUUAGGGAAGUUUUCAGUCCAAUUGUUUUUAUUUUUGUUUCUUAUUAUUUAUUUUAUUUUAUUUUUAUUUGCAUUAUAGUGUUUUCUGACAUUGGGGACAAUGUCAAGUUUAAGUGUGGGGGUAGAAAUCUCUAGAAUUUCAUUUGUUUCUGUGUUGUUACUUUUUUUUGUUUUCUUUAAAAAAUAAAAUAAAAAAUUCGGAAAAUUUAAAAAUCCAAAAAUAUUGUCUUGUUUUCCUUAUUAGAUUUUUGUUAGUUUCCCGACCCAAUGCUAUAAUUAGAUCAAAUUUGAACCAUGAUCAUCAAGAACUUAGUUAACAUAUGUUUUUGUGAAAUUCCUAAUUCUCUUGUUAGUUUUGUACAUGUUUGAUCAUCUUUUGAAAAACCAAAUGCACAUAGCCUUGUUGAUGUGAAACUAAAGCAUGACUUAAAGCUUCAUAUGUGAAUUUAGUGACCAUAUACAUCCUAUGUGAGUUUUUGAGCCUAUUGAAAGUGUGUGCAUUUUUCAUACACUCCUAUUUUUUUUUUUAUGUGUGAUGAACUUAUGUGAGAUACAUCUCUAGAACUUGCGUAACGAUCUUUCGAAAUGUUUGUCAUUGAUUGCAUGAACUUGGAAAUGAUAGAGGCAUUAGGUUUACCACUAUGGCCCAAAUAACCAUGUUUCCCAAAUAAAAAUGAUAUCAUUAGAUUGCCAAUUUGAGCCGUGUAUGUUGAGCCUUUUAUUUCUUAUCACCAGAUAUGUCUACCCUUAUACCUGAAACAUUUUUCCUUACCCUUUCCAAGCGAGCAAUGCGAGAUUGUCUUAUGAGAAACGUUUGUGAAGUACUUUGAAGGUGUUUGGCAAAAGAAUAAGUGUGGGGGUAUUUCAUGUUUGUGUGUAAAAAAAAAAAAAAAAAAAAAAAAGAAAGAUUGUAUACAAAUGAAAUAAAAAGUUGUUCAAUUUUCAGUUUAAGGGUGUGGUUGGAGGUGCUAAAAGAAUAGUUGGAAAUAUUGAGUUCUUAUAAAUCUAAAGAAAAGAAUUGCUUGCAAUGUAGCUUGGAACUUGUGUUUUCCUAUUCUUUCGUUUCAAUAACCCUAUCCCUAAGCCUCAUUACAUCCAAUAAAAGUCCUCUUGAUUUAAGUUUUGCAAUUAUGACUGUGGAGAAGUGAUUUUUAUGCAAGCUUAUGGUAGAUAUUUCACAUUUGAUUCUUU